CCUACGGGGCGCAGCAGUGAGGAAUAUUGGUCAAUGGGCGAGAGCCUGAACCAGCCAAGUCGCGUGAGGGAGUACUGCCCUAUGGGUUGUAAACCUCUUUUGUCGGGGAGCAAAAGCCGGACGUGUCCGGCUGUGAGAGUACCCGAAGAAAAAGCAUCGGCUAACUACGUGCCAGCAGCCGCGGUAAUACGUAGGGGGCAAGCGUUAUCCGGAUUCAUUGGGCGUAAAGCGCGCGCAGGCGGGGUGCUAA
rnacentral:rRNA from 1 species